UGGCUUUGCAGAACGAGGUGGCGGCGGUGGUGGUCGUCGGUAUGGAGGUGAUGGAGACUUUUUUGGUGGAUUCAAUGGAGGUUUUUUCUUUUUAUCAAGGUUUGCAGCAGGUAGAUUUUUAUCAAGGUGUGAAGGUGAAGAUUGAGAUUGGUAGGGUAUAGAUGUUGGAAAUAUGGUAGAUUCAUCAGCAUGGUAUGGAGGAGGUGAAGGUGGGGAAAGCAUGGCUUUGGGGUCAGAAACUACCAAUGCAACAAUGUGAAAGAGCAUCAGAAGAAUGAUCACUAAUGGAGAAUUCAUCUU
rnacentral:lncRNA from 1 species